AUUCGAUGCAACGCGAAGAACCUUACCAAAUCUUGACAUCCUCUGACCCCUCUAGAGAUAGAGUUUUUCCCUUCGGGGGACAGAGUGACAGGUGGUGCAUGGUUGUCGUCAGCUCGUGUCGUGAGAUGUUGGGUUAAGUCCCGCAACGAGCGCAACCCUUAAGCUUAGUUGCCAUCAUUAAGUUGGGCACUCUAAGUUGACUGCCGGUGACAAACCGGAGGAAGGUGGGGAUGACGUCAAAUCAUCAUGCCCCUUAUGAUUUGGGCUACACACGUGCUACAAUGGCUGGUACAACGAGUCGCGAGUCGGUGACGGCAAGCUAAUCUCUUAAAGCCAGUCUCAGUUCGGAUUGUAGGCUGCAACUCGCCUACAUGAAGUCGGAAUCGCUAGUAAUCGCGGAUCAGCACGCCGCGGUGAAUACGUUCCCGGGCCUAGUACAC
rnacentral:rRNA from 1 species